rnacentral:lncRNA from 1 species
UCUACCAAAAAGACAUACGCACUUGCAUGUUCAUCGCAGCACUAUUCACAAUAGCAAAGACAUGGAGUCAGCCAGGUCUUGUUUUUAAUCAAUUUACCCAUUCUCUGUCUUCUUACUGGAUAGUUUAAUCUAUUUCCAUUCAAGGUAAUUAUUGAUAGAUAAGGACUUGUACUGCCAUAUACUGUUUUCUUGUUGUCUUUUAGAAUUUUUGUACCUUUUUGUCCCUUUGUUGUUUUCCUUUGUAGUUAAGUGAUUUUCUCUGUGUGUUUUUGUUUCUUGUUAUUUUAUUU